CAGAGGAUACGAGGUGAAGUCCCCAGAAACAGGACUGAAGGGCCCAUCACACAGCAUGAGAAGUUAGCUCAGUCCCUGAAGGGUUCGUGGCUCGCUGGAGGAGAUGGUGCUGGCUGCCAACCACUAAGCCCAGCUGCACUGGCAAGUCCUUUUCCAGCCAGAACAGGCAGUUCUUUACAGCCCUGCAAUCUUGACAAUAAAUCAAUAAAACUGGGACACUGGAGGAAUUUGGGGAGUUUCAGUAUAAAAAAAAAUAAAAUGUUACCAACUGGAAAGAAACUCUCCAUGAACUCUGGGAACACUGAAACACACAAGAACACCAGAGACGGAUACAUAGAUCUGGAAUCUGUAGUUGGUGUACUUAACUCUGCAUUUGGAACUGUAAUCACCAGGAGAUUUUCUGACCCAAUUUGUGGCAGAACUGUUUGGAACAGAGUGGUUAAGAGAAUGUCCUUCUAAGUGCAACGGGUGUGUUUGUACAAGGAUUCUGUGUGUUGUCAAUAUCCAGCUUGCUUUUCAGCAUCACAUUUCAGUUGGCUUCUCAAGCUGUCUGGACUUACUGUGGGUUUGAGUAAACAAGAUGUUUUGUAAUACUCCUUAUUUUUGCAUUAACUAUAUCAUUAAUGGUUGUAAAAAUUGGUAGUUCUGGUCAGCCCCAGGAAGGCAGUACUUCAAAUUGCGGUAUGUAUUUUAGCCUACAAGUGAAGGAGAAUCUCAGGUCACUAGGAGAGUAUGCCGGAGCCUAGAAUCCUUGUAACAUCAGAUGGAAUAAGUUCUCUCUCUUUUAUUUCGUGAUAGACUCAAGACAAGUAAAGAUGCAUUUAUUUCUCUUUUAUUGCAAAGUAUUUAAGUGAUUACAGUGACAGAGGAGAUUACUACGAAGAGCAUCACUCUACAGAAAUGUGAGAUAUAGUUAGCAGUGAGGUAUGGUGGCAAAUGUAACUACUUUCACAUCCUUGGGGCUACAAUCUAGCCCACAUCCAUAGCGUAACAUUCUCCCUACCUGCUCAGCACAACAUCUCUAUUGAGGUAGUAGGGUUUGGACAAAAUGUAUUUUGAUAUUGAGCUGUUCCAUAGCUCAUUUGCAGCAGUGUUAUAGCAGUAAGGCUUGUCAUUUGGGAGCACAAUUCUCCACUCGCUGCCCUUCCUUUCUUACGCAUG
rnacentral:lncRNA from 1 species